CUGGAGUUGAAAGGCAAUAAUUUUCUUCCUCUCUGUCAUCACCAAUUUAUUACCAUGAACUCUGGUGCAAUGGAAAAUUAUUACCUCUUUAUAGAUUUCAGCAAUUUAAAACAGGAAGAAUUUAGUUUGAGCCUUUGAGGAUCUAACACUGCAUCUCUUUCCUGUCCUUAGCUGCCUUCUUUCAGGUCAGCUGCCUCUGAUGCCCAACAGGCCAGCAACAGGAUAGGAUUUGGAGAAACCAUGAGAGCCCCAGUUUCCUGAGCCUCAUUUGUGGUUGUGGCAGACGAUUGAGAAGAGGAAGUAUGAAUUGCAGUGAGAUGCAGUGGGAAAGAAAGAAUUCAUACCAUCAGGAUGACCUCUGCUGUUGAUGUAUUCUUGCCUACACAGGUCAAGAUUAAUAAAGAAAAUACAAUGUAAGAAGAAGGAGAAUCAGCAACAAAAGUGGUUACUGUCUUUCUUCAAUGAAUACAGCAAUUUCAGAAAGAAUCGCCUCUUUCUUCAUGGUGUGCCAGAACGUUGGUACUUCUGGAGGGCGACUUGA
rnacentral:lncRNA from 1 species